rnacentral:tRNA from 1 species
GGGGAUUUAGCUCAGGGGUAGAGCGCUUGCCUAGCAAGCACAAGGCCCUGGGUUCGAUCCUCAGCUCCG